CGUGGGCGUAGGAAAUUUGAGAGGAGCUGUCCUUAGUACGAGAGGACCGGGAUGGACAUACCUCUGGUGUACCAGUUGUCGUGCCAACGGCAUAGCUGGGUAGCUAUGUAUGGACGGGAUAAGUGCUGAAAGCAUCUAAGCAUGAAGCCCCCCUCAAGAUGAGAUUUCCCAACUUCGGUUAUAAGAUCCCUCGAAGAUGACGAGGUUAAUAGGUUCGAGGUGGAAGCGUGGUGACACGUGGAGCUGACGAAUACUAAUCGAUCGAAGACUUAAUCAA
rnacentral:rRNA from 1 species